rnacentral:rRNA from 1 species
CCUACGGGGGGCAGCAGUGGGGAAUAUUGGACAAUGGGGGAAACCCUGAUCCAGCGACGCCGCGUGAGUGAAGAAGUAUUUCGGUACGUAAAGCUCUAUCAGCAGGAAAGAAAAUGACGGUACUUGACUAAGAAGCCCCGGCUAACUCUGUGCCAGCAGCCGCGGUAAUACGUAGGGGGCAAGCGUUAUCCGGAUGUACUGGGUGGAAAGGGAGCGUAGACGGCAGCGCAAGUCUGGAGUGAAAUGCCGGGGCCCAACCCCGGAACUGCUCUGGAAACUGUGAAGCUGGAGUGCAGGAGAGGUAAGCGGAAUUCCUAGUGUAGCAGUGAAAUGCGUAGAUAUCAGGAGGAACACCGGCGGCGAAGGCGGCUUACUGGACUGUAACUGACGUUGAGGCUCGAAGGCGUGGGGAGCAAACAGGAUUAGAUACCCUUGUAGUC